CGUGCCGCGGUGCGUGCUGGGGGCUCGGAGGCGGUGGCGCUAGGCGAGCGCGCGGCGGCCAUUUUGUGUCUGCCUCGCUCGCCUCCGUGGAGCGGCUGGUGUGGGCGCUGCGGCUCGGGAGGGGAGAAUUCGGUUGUCUCCUUUCUGCGUAGGUCGGGGGCGCCGCCGCCGCCGCCAUGGGCCGUAAGAAGAAGAAGCAGCUGAAGCCUUGGUGCUGGUACUGUAACAGGGAUUUUGAUGAUGAAAAAAUCCUUAUACAGCAUCAAAAAGCAAAGCACUUUAAAUGCCAUAUAUGUCACAAGAAAUUGUAUACAGGACCUGGUUUAGCUAUACAUUGCAUGCAGGUACAUAAAGAAACAAUAGAUGCUGUUCCAAAUGCUAUUCCUGGAAGAACAGACAUUGAACUGGAAAUCUAUGGCAUGGAGGGCAUUCCAGAAAAAGAUAUGGAGGAAAGGAGAAGAUUACUUGAACAAAAAACUCAGGAAAGCCAGAAAAAGAAACAACAGGAUGAUUCUGAUGAGUAUGAAGAUGAUGAAUCUGCAGCUUCAACUUCAUUUCAACCACAGCAGGUUCAGCCGCAGCAGGGGUACAUUCCCCCAAUGGCACAGCCAGGUUUGCCUCCUGUACCAGGUGCCCCAGGAAUGCCUCCAGGUAUACCACCGUUAAUGGCAGGUGUUCCACCUAUGAUGCCUGGAAUGCCUCCAGUUAUGCCUGGAAUGCCACCUGGAUUACAUCAACAGAGAAAAUACAUGCAGUCAUUUUGUGGUGGAAACAUGAUGAUGCCAAUGGGUGGGAUGAUGCCUCCUGGACCAGGAAUACCACCUCUUAUGCCUGGUAUGCCACCAGGUAUGCCACCACCAGUUGGUCCUCGUCCUGGGAUGCCUCCAAUGACACAAGCCCAGCCUGUGACAGCACCGGGUAUUCUUAAUAGACCUCCAGCUCCUGCUGCAUCGGCACCUACCCCUCAGCCUCCAGUUACUAAACCACUCUUCCCAAGUGCAGGGCAGAUGGGGACACCUGUCACAAGCUCAAGUACAGCUUCCUCCAAUUCAGAAAGUCUGUCAGCAUCUUCUAACGCUCUGUUUCCUAGCGCAGCACAAGCUGCAGCAGCUGUUCCAGGUCCAGUUGGUACUGAUUUCAAACCUUUGAAUUCUACACCUGCAACAACAACAGAACCCCCCAAACCUACAUUCCCUGCUUACACACAGUCUACAGCCUCAACCACUAGUACAACAAACAGUACUGCAGCUAAACCAGCUACAUCUAUAACAAGUAAGCCUGCUACACUUACAACAACCAGUGCAACCAGUAAGUUGAUCCAUCCAGAUGAGGAUAUAUCACUGGAAGAGAGAAGGGCGCAGCUGCCUAAAUAUCAGCGUAACCUUCCUCGACCAGGACAAGCGUCCUUGGGUAAUCCACCAGUUGGACCAAUUGGAGGUAUGAUGCCACCACAGCCGGGGAUUCCUCCACAGCAGCAAGGAAUGAGACCUCCUAUGCCCCCGCAUGGUCAGUAUGGUGCUCAUCACCAGGGCAUGCCAGGAUACCUUCCUGGAGCGAUGCCUCCUUAUGGUCAGGGACCUCCGAUGGUGCCCCCUUACCAAAGUGGACCUCCUCGACCUCCAAUGGGAAUGAGACCUCCUGUAAUGUCGCAAGGUGGCCGCUACUGAUGCUACUACACACACUCUAAUAGGUUUGGAGAUUAAACCUUUUCUCAUCUUGUGCUGUUAAUAUAGCCAAGCUUCCGUCAAUUAAGGCUUCAUUGUGACUUUAAAAAUAAGUAUCUUCUCACAUGCAAGGAACUAUUGGACAUUCUUAUUUUACACGGGAAAAAUUAUUUGGAAUAAUAACAGGAACUUUUCCUGAUGUUGCAAUUUAUACUGUAUGGCUUCUUUUUCAUGUUUCAUCUAGGUUUUUAGAAGUGAAGUAUAGUAAAUAUGGUUCGUUAAAUUGUGAAGGCGCUGGAAUUACAUGAACAUACCACCUUAAAGCCCUGCCAUAGGACAGGCUGAGGCAGAGUCUCAGUGUUGCCCUGUUCAGUCUGAGCAGCAGAAUUUCAGCAUUUGCUACUUACUGGUAGAGAAGAAAAAUCCCACAGCACUGCCAGUACAGGUUAGUUUAAUCUGUAAGUACCUGAUGUUCCUAUUUGAAAUACUCUGUUCAAAUGAUACCAUUGAAGUACGUGAGGAGGGGAAUUUUGAUUUCUGGUAUGUGAACGUGUCCUUGCUCUCUACUGCUGUUUUUCAGUAGUAAAUAAACUACAUCUUUUCAUGAAGAUCUGUAAUGAUUUUAAAUAUACCUGUGGAUAGGUAAUAUUUACAGUCACUUUUAAAGGAAAUUUUAUGCAGAACUGUGACAAACAGUCUGCUGUUACUGAAGAGCAUAAAGACCUGAAAUUAAAGAUAAUUCUUCAGUAACGUGAAUAUUACAAAAGAGGCCAUUUUUAGCAGUGAACUAAUUAUAGGAUAUUAUAUUCAUUCUUAUUCUGGGGAAAAAACAUUCCUGUUGAUAACAAUCUGUAGCAGUAAUUUUAAUCUUUAUUUGGAUUUUCUUUAGAUAUUUCUAAUUACUGCCUCCUAACAACAUGUUUGUGCUCUGUUAGGUCUGUUAGCCAGGAGCUUGUUUUUCUCUGAUUUUUUGUUAGUCUGUUUCAGUACUGUAAAGGCUACCUACAAAUGUGUGUUUUGCCCAGCUGUUUUAUCUUACUCCAGCGUCAUGCUCUUCUGCUGUUUUUUCUUCCUUUGUCCCCUUCGGUAUUCCUAGAAGUUCUGGAAUUUUGAUUUUUAUUGUAUGGUCUCCAGAGCAUUUUACAGCUUAAAACAAGAAAGAGAAGAUUCUUUGUGAUUGGAUAAAAGAUGCAACCUGCUCCAAAACUAGCUGCCUCCAUUGAUUCAUUUAUUUAAACUUAGUGUGCCUCACUUCUGCCCACAAGCAUGGAGACAAAAAUUGAUUAUAAUUCCUGUGCUCUGGCACACGGCUUGAUGAUAAGGCACAGAAAGCUUCGCUGCUUAAUUCACUUCUCAAGGAUAUGUUAUCACAGAGUGAAUUUGAGGGACUUUUGAAACUGGUGGAUAAGUAUAUGAAAACAAGCAUAUACUAGUAUGGUACGUAAACAAAGUUUUGUCAGCUCAUCUAAAUGAUCCAGAAUAGUGUCAUUAGUGACACAGUAGACUUGGCACUUCCAGCAACAUAACUUGUUUUAGAAUUUUGAAAUCUUACACAACUCUGCACAAUUCAUCAUACUAGCCUGUAAAUGCAUUGUCAGAGGGAACAUGUCUUCCCAGGUUUUAGAAUAGUUAAAAUCAAGAGUAGUUACAUUAGUUUACAUCUCCUGGCAUUUUCUCUACAUCACUUCUCAGGCAUCCACACUAAAUUAUUUUGUCUGCAAGAGUAUUUACGUACAAAUUUGAAUAACAUUAAGCAGGGUUUCUUCCUAGAAGAAAAAAAUGGUGGAACAUUGCAUAAUAAAUUUUAUAACUAAUUUUUCUCUCUAUCUCCUACAUACUAAUGGCAGAGGUGCAUGACUAAAUGGGAUUCUUUGCUACGAGACCGUUAUCCUCUAAUAGAGCGUAUGCAUCUUUCUUUCGACUACUGCUGUUGACGCAGCGCUCUGUAAGGCAGGAGGAGUGAUUGAUUGCUUUUGGCUGCCGAAUUACUACGUUAAGUCUCCGUUUUGACAGUGGUUGAACGCUGACCUGCAGUACUUGUACCCCAGCUUGGCAACGAAUGGGAAUAACUAAAGGGUCCUGUUCUCUAGUGUCUCCUGAACAAAAAGUACAGCUCUGCAGGGUAGUCCUGAUAUGAGCUUUGGUAGAAGGUCUUCUCUUCACGAAGCUUUAUGGCAAUGAACUGUAGUACUUGCUGGUAGAAUUAAGCUCAUUUUCCUUUGAGAUAGUACGGCAAAGAAUACUGGGAGUCUGGCCUUUCACAACUGGGUGAGCAGUCUUAAACUGUAGCAACUUUUGAUCCAUUGUUACAGCUGCUGUCCCCUAAUUCUGACAUGGUAGAGAUGAGCAGGGAGUCGGUUCACACUGCUUACCUCAGACUUCGGCCUAAAGGCUCUGCAUCGCCCCGUGAGGGAUUCCAUUCGCUGUGUAGUGAACUCAAGACUCCUUGCUGUUUUUGAUUGCAUCUUAAUGUGUCUUAAAGUGCAUGAUCAGAAUAUGUCCCCUCUCAGUACAACCAAGGAAGUCUGUGUGCUGAUUUUUUUUUUUUUUAAUGUAACUUGAUCCUGCUUUUGUGUAAAUAGCAUGAAAGGGAUUGGAUCACUGAUCUUUUUCAAAAGACAAGUGGCAAAUAUUGGUAAGUUAAUUUAAUUCGAGAAAGUGAGAGACUGGUAAGUAAGUGCAUCACUUUAAUGCAUGCAAAUAAUAGUAACAGUAACUGCAGCUUAAUUUUAUAGCGUUCAAUUUAUAAGGAAGAAUUUGAAGAAAAUAUGGAGCUAACAUCACUUGCAUCUGUUGGGAACCUUCUGUGAGCAUAUACUUCAGGAAUGGAUAACUGUACAUAUACCCAUCUUUAGUGUGUAUCUACCUCUUUGUAACAGUCUCUGAUUAAACGUAAGUGAAGCGCUG